GUGAAAGAAGCAACUCUUGAAAUACACCAGCUGUGUUUCAAUUUCAACAUGGGUAGAAGACAUGGAGGGCAGCAAGGAGAAGACAAGAAAAGCAAUGGUAUCAAGAAGGUCAAGACUUCAACAUUGUUCUCCACAUCAAACAAAACCAGUUCAGAGCUGUGAUGGAGCAUCAGAUGUAUAGACAGCUACAAAUCAAGCAGUACAGGCAAUUUCUCUCUUCUAUCACCACCCGAGAGAAACAGAGCUGAAAGUGUUCCCACAGGUCAACCAAGCUGCUGGAGGAGUGCUCUGAGAAGCUGACUCUGAACAUGGCUGCACAAUGAGAGUUCUUGGCAGGCGGCACCGAGGCACCAGAACCAGGCACAGACCCCACGUUGCAACUGGAGAAACAUUUCUGUGGCCACCCAAAAAAAACCCCAGAAGGUUUCAGAUGAUUGCACACUGAGGAUGAAUCUUCUCCAGUGAGACACUAACGCAAGAAUUCAAUGGGUGGAUAAGAAGCAAUGGACAAAAACUGAAGUGUGAAAAAUUCUGCUUCAGCAGAAAAAAGGAAAAAAGAAAAAAAAGUUUACAGUGAGUUGUUCUAAUGCUGAAUUUUGUCCAAAGACAUUUUGGAGUCUCAUGGUUGGAGACAUUCAAAAUACACUGCAAAAAACCCUGACCAAUGGUCUUGCUUGACCCUUCUUGGAGCAGGGAUUCAGACUGGAAAAAUCUCUGGAAAUCCCUCCCAACCUCAGCCAUUCUGUGACCCUGUGGAGUCAACAGAUUGUGUUGUGUAAAACCAGAGUACCAAAGCACUCCUGUGGAGUUGGGAGAGAUUUGGUGAAGUCAUUGCUGAUGCUCUUUCAGUUUUUAAAAGGUUCAGACUAAUACCUUCCUUGUUUUAGCUCCUCUGCUUGACAGAUGCCUGCAAAAUGUCAUCAGACCUUUGUGUGGACCUGUUUGGGUCUCUAAGAGAGAAGGUUUCAGCCUCUCAGGAGCAAAGAUUUACAUCCAAGGAGUUCUCUUGGCCCUGCACCAACGAUUAAAGCCUGCAAAGGGCUGCAAACAGGUGGUGCUAGGAGAGAAACAAAGAAUAUUGAGACCUUUGAAAUUGGAGAGAAUUACAGAUGUCUUCAGAACUGCAGAACACCUGGCUAAACUAGGACUGAAGGACUGAAGAAGUGGCAUUAACUCACAGGAAGUAGAGGAUUUUAUUGCCCAUGAGCUAGACAAAGUGUCCCACAUUACAGAAGCAAAUACUGGUUUAUUCUAAAUUAAUACUUUCUCAUUUAUUUCUAUAUCAUCUUUUAUCAUUUCACCUCUCUCAUCCCCUCACACUACAGCAUUUACAGCUGUGCUGUUUUCAUUUCUGCUUUCACCAGUGUGGUUACCCUGACAAAUGGAAAAUCCUGCCAAAGGCCAUACCUGUUUGAACAACACACCUUUGCUGUCUGGGAGCCUUUUUUUAAUCUCUCCUUUACACCCUAUCUAAACCACAUUUAUUUAAUGAAGCAUUUUUGCUUUAGUCUCUUCAGAAAAGAUGCAUAAGAUCACAGGCCCUCAGUUUCAGUUUUCCUCUCUUUCUUCUAAUGCUUUUGCACUCUUUCAAGUCAAUCAUCCUUUUAUUUCAUAUUUUAUGCUUGCAUGCUGUUCAGACAAUUGACAAUACACCUGAGCUUUCAUGUCUAAGGCACUUACUUCAUACCAAUGUAAUGACAAUAAUUUCUAUCAGGUUGUUCUGUUUUUCCUGCUGUAUUCUGCACAAAAUGUGUUUUAUAUGGCACCUUGUCCAAGAGUUUCACACCACAGAAUCAUUUAGAUCAUUGAGUUCAGUCAUUAACCCAUCAGUGGCAAGUCCACCACCAAAUCAUGUCCCCAAAUGCCACAUCCGGACAUCUUUCAAAUACCCCAGGGAUGGGGACUGGGCAGCCUCUUCCAGUGCUUGGCAAUAUUUUAGGUGUUAAAUCAUGGGAGGUGGCAAAGAUGGUCUCCAUCAACUGUUUUUACCAUGGCAAUCAAAGGAAACUGUCUUCUUUACGUUUCAGUUUCUCACAUCAUGUUUCCAUUAAUAACCCCAUAUGAUCCCAGGAAUCUGGGAUACCUGGGAAGUUUCUGGGGUGUGUCACGUGAAGUUUGGGUUCCCAGCUCUCAGACAUUUGAAUUCUUGGCUCGGCCUGGCUCGGCCACGUAGCUCAGCACCAGGCAAUGUCCAGCACAGGGCUCUGGCCAUGGGCUCCAGCUGAUAUCCCAGUCAGAAUUCCCUGGAAUUCCCUGGAAUUCCCUGUUCUGCAGCAGCUGCUGAGCUGCCAGACACGGGCAGUGAGAGCAAAGGAACCGCCUCCCACUAAUCCCUUUGUGGGAGAGCAGCGUGCUACAUGAGGAGGAGGACAUAAUCCAGAUGGAACACAAAGGGUCUGGGGAUUAAGGAGAGGUGGAAUGGAGGGGGCAGGAACCACUUGGGACAGAGCAUUAGGAAUAUGAGAGACGGGGUGAGGUAAAAUGCAAUGCCAGUGGAAAG